CUGCUUUUGUAUCUCUAAUACAACACUCACGGUUCCUCCUAGCAAAAUUGCUCAAAGCCAAGCAAAAAAAAUAAAAAAAAAAAUUAAAUACAAGAAAAUGAAAUGUCUCCAGCCUGUCGUAGGUUUCGCUGAUUUCGAUUAGCAAUCGAAGAGAUGAACCAUCAUCGUCUCAGAGCGAUCACCCGAUUCAUACUCAUCCAGACGGCCUCUUCAUCCUUUUAUCCUUACGAAUCAUACCCAUUCUCUCCCUUGCGCCUCCUCUUCAUCUGUUGCUCUCUCUCUCCCUGUGAAUCUCACAACCCAUUUGGGUCUCACGCAUAGAGGUCUGUGGUUGGCUCGACUGUCGUCUUUCGUCCUUCCGUGUUCUCUGCUCUGUUUGUUUCAUUGCUUCACCGGAACUGCCAGGCGAUUCAAAGGUUGUCGCAUUGAAUGCACUCUAUGAGGGGGCUUUGUUAGGAGAUGCGAAGGAGGUCUAUGCCUGAGGUAUGUACACUGUUCAAUCCAGUUCAUGGAUAUGGUUUUUGUUAUGGGAUAUUGGGGUCUUCCCCUUGCUUCAUCUUACAGUGUCCUGCAAUUUAUUAUCUUUAAAUUUUUCGUGCUCAAAUCCACUCAUCAGGUUCACUUCUGCUGAUUUAUAAUGAGGUUAGGAUUUGGAUUUCAAUUUACCUAUGUGAUAUUUAUUAACAUAGUGUUUUAGGAUCACAAAAUUUAGUAUCACGCUGUUCUUUAUUUGAUAAUGAUAGCCUUGGAGUGGAGGCCAUCUUUUUUAAUAUACAUGUGUCUUUCAUGUGCUCUCAACUAUGUCUGAGGCUCUAACAAGUGUCUUUCAAGUCUUUAUUUGAUAAUGAUAAUAUCAAAUGCCACUAGAUGGGCUACUUUGGUCCCUUGGGGAUGCUUCUUAAAGCUUAAUUUUGUUUCUUUUACAUUUUCCUAGCCAAGUUCAACAAUCUCUGUUUGUGCCACAGGGAAGCUUUUAAAAGAGGAAAAACUUCCUAAAGAAAUAAGUAGUUUAUCAAUAUAAUAUAAACAUGAGAGCAAUUGAAUUUCUGCCAAUCUGUCUAUACUUAGUUUUUGUUUUUGAGUGUCCAAUUUGAAUUUGGGAUUUCUAAUACUAUAUUGAAAUCUGAUAUGUACAAUUUUUGUACCAGGGGAUACUAUCUGAGAAUGGUCAAAGUUAGCGAACCUAAAAGGAUGAAAACCAGUGAAAAGCAAGAUAUGAAUGGUGAGAGAAACCUAAGAGAAUUACCUGAUGUCAGUCUCCAACACAUCCUUUCUUCAAUUUCAACAAAGUCUGCCGCGAGAGAAGGUGUUCUGACAAAAAGAUGGUAAUCUCUUUGGACAUUUGUUUCGAAAUGCGAUUUUACUGGAUAUGAAAGUAAAAUAGAACCCACUCUAUGGAAUGUUUUGAUUGAGCACUUGCACUCCAUGAAGGUAGUAUUAUAAUACGCUACUCUAUUAUGAGUGAUGUGCUAGGUGAUGCAGAUUGCGUUAGAAGAUGGAUUACAAUUGUAGCGAGAUGGAAUGUUGGAGCCACUUGGUAGUAUAUUUAUGAGCACCACAACAGUUCUUGGUCCAUCAUUGGCUCUUGAUGGCCACCAUAUUCUUCACUACUUCUUCCAUAGAAGAGUGGGAGAUCGGAUCGAGUGGGGUUUCUCCCUCGGAGAUAGUGCCUGCUGUUGCUUGUGCUACUCCAAAUGUUUCUCAAUCUGCAGUAAAGAUGAAAUGGCCUCGACCUCUUGACAUUCAUACUUCUGGUAAGAGAAAUAGUUACUUCAUGCACUUCAUUAUAUUUGUUAGUAUAUAGCUGCCAUGUUGUAAAGAACACUAAAAAAAUAUGCUUCAGAAAAUAAAUAAUUAUAAUCAUUUUGAAUAUGCAUCCCAAUUGUGAUAUUCUAUGAUGUUAUUAAAAAGCUUUUAAUUUGUUUGUGGAUUUCUUUUGUAUGAAUGUGGUCACUGUUCUUUUCUAGCUUAAGGGCUUUCUAACCUAUUACUCUGGUAGAUACAAGCUCUCCUCUGACCAACCCAAAACAUGUAGUCAAUUAUUUGAAGUUGUAUUGCAUAUGAUGUUCCCACUUUAUGGGGAAU